rnacentral:rRNA from 1 species
AGGUAAGCUACUAAGAGCGAAUGGUGGAUGCCUUGACUGGUAAAGGCGAUGAAGGACGUACUAGACUGCGAUAAGCUACGGGGAGCUGUCAAGAAGCUUUGAUCCGUAGAUUUCCGAAUGGGGCAACCCAAUGUAUAGAGAUAUACAUUACCUAUAUAGGAGCGAACGAGGGGAAUUGAAACAUCUUAGUACCCUCAGGAAAAGAAAUCAAUAGAGAUUGCGUCAGUAGCGGCGAGCGAAAGCGCAAGAGGGCAAACCCAGUGCUUGCACUGGGGGUUGUAGGACUGCAAUGUGCAAGAGGUGAGUUUAGCAGAACAUUCUGGAAAGUAUAGCCAUAGAGGGUGAUAGUCCCGUAUGCGAAAAACAAACCUUAGCUAGCAGUAUCCUGAGUAGGGCGGGACACGAGAAAUCCUGUCUGAAGCUGGGUCGACCACGAUCCAACCCUAAAUACUAAUACCAGAUCGAUAGUGCACAAGUACCGUGAGGGAAAGGUGAAAAGAACUGAGGUGAUCAGAGUGAAAUAGAACCUGAAACCAUUUGCUUACAAUCAUUCAGAGCCCUAUGUAGCAAUACAGGGUGAUGGACUGCCUUUUGCAUAAUGAGCCUGCGAGUUGUGGUGUCUGGCAAGGUUAAGCAAACGCGAAGCCGUAGCGAAAGCGAGUCUGAAUAGGGCGCUUAGUCAGAUGCUGCAGACCCGAAACGAAGUGAUCUAUCCAUGAGCAAGUUGAAGCUAGUGUAAGAACUAGUGGAGGACUGAACCCAUAGGCGUUGAAAAGCCCCGGGAUGACUUGUGGAUAGGGGUGAAAGGCCAAUCAAACUUCGUGAUAGCUGGUUCUCUCCGAAAUAUAUUUAGGUAUAGCGUUGUGUCGUAAUAUAAGGGGGUAGAGCACUGAAUGGGCUAGGGCAUACACCAAUGUACCAAACCCUAUCAAACUCCGAAUACCUUAUAUGUAAUCACAGCAGUCAGGCGGCGAGUGAUAAAAUCCGUCGUCAAGAGGGAAACAACCCAGACUACCAGCUAAGGUCCCUAAAUCUUACUUAAGUGGAAAACGAUGUGAAGUUACUUAAACAACCAGGAGGUUGGCUUAGAAGCAGCCAUCCUUUAAAGAAAGCGUAAUAGCUCACUGGUCUAGUGAUUUUGCGCGGAAAAUAUAACGGGGCUAAAGUAAGUACCGAAGCUGUAGACUUAGUUUACUAAGUGGUAGGAGAGCGUUCUAUUUGCGUCGAAGGUAUACCGGUAAGGAGUGCUGGAGCGAAUAGAAGUGAGCAUGCAGGCAUGAGUAGCGAUAAUUAAUGUGAGAAUCAUUAACGCCGUAAACCCAAGGUUUCCUACGCGAUGCUCGUCAUCGUAGGGUUAGUCGGGUCCUAAGUCGAGUCCGAAAGGGGUAGACGAUGGCAAAUUGGUUAAUAUUCCAAUACCAACAUUAGUGUGCGAUGGAAGGACGCUUAGGGCUAAGGGGGCUAGCGGAUGGAAGUGCUAGUCUAAGGUCGUAGGAGGUUAUACAGGCAAAUCCGUAUAACAAUACUCCGAGAACUGAAAGGCUUUUUGAAGUCUUCGGAUGGAUAGAAGAACCCCUGAUGCCAUCGAGCCAAGAAAAGUUUCUAAGUUUAGCUAAUGUUGCCCGUACCGUAAACCGACACAGGUGGGUGGGAUGAGUAUUCUAAGGCGCGUGGAAGAACUCUCUUUAAGGAACUCUGCAAAAUAGCACCGUAUCUUCGGUAUAAGGUGUGGUUCGCUUCGUAUUAGGAUUUACUCCGAAAGCGAAGAAACUUACAACAAAGAGUCCCUCCCGACUGUUUACCAAAAACACAGCACUCUGCUAACUCGUAAGAGGAUGUAUAGGGUGUGACGCCUGCCCGGUGCUCGAAGGUUAAUUGAUGGGGUUAGCAUUAGCGAAGCUCUUGAUCGAAGCCCGAGUAAACGGCGGCCGUAACUAUAACGGUCCUAAGGUAGCGAAAUUCCUUGUCGGUUAAAUACCGACCUGCAUGAAUGGCGUAACGAGAUGGGAGCUGUCUCAAAGAGGGAUCCAGUGAAAUUGUAGUGGAGGUGAAAAUUCCUCCUACCCGCGGCAAGACGGAAAGACCCCGUGGACCUUUACUACAGCUUGACACUGCUAUUUGGAUAAGAAUGUGCAGGAUAGGUGGGAGGCUUUGAGUAUAUGACGCCAGUUGUAUAUGAGCCAUUGUUGAGAUACCACUCUUUCUUAUUUGGGUAGCUAACCAGCUUGAGUUAUCCUCAAGUGGGACAAUGUCUGGUGGGUAGUUUGACUGGGGCGGUCGCCUCCCAAAUAAUAACGGAGGCUUACAAAGGUUGGCUCAGAACGGUUGGAAAUCGUUCGUAGAGUAUAAAGGUAUAAGCCAGCUUAACUGCAA